AACGCACCUUGCACUCCUUGGUAUUCCGAGGAGUAUGCCUGUUUGAGUGUCAUGAAAUCAUCAACCUCAUAGUUUUAUUACUUUUGAGGCUUGGAUUUGGAAGCUGCUGGCUAAUGUCGGCUCUUCUUAAAUGUAUUAGCUGCUUGUCCGUGAGUUGGCUCAGAGUGUGAUAAGUAUCUACACUUGGUGGCUGCUCGCAUUGGAUGUGGCUUCUAAUCGUCUUUUCAGACAAUUUUUUAAGAUCUGACCUCAAAUCAGGUAGGACUACCCGCUGAACUUAA
rnacentral:misc_RNA from 1 species